GAAAUUUGAAGCCAGAUGGUUAUGGAUAUGGUUCUAAACUUUAAGAGUCCGGCUGAGAUACUAUCGAUAGCACUAACAUUUGGUGCUAUCAAGUUUUCUGCCGUUAGAUUUACCUCUUUUAUCAUUUUCAUCCGUUCGAUUAUAUUAUUUAAGUAACCACCCACUCAACCCUAGGGAGCCCACAUCAUCCUAACCGCAUACCUUUUAAUCCAAGGGCAGAAAACUUACAUAUAUAGAUUUACCUCUUUUAUCAUUUUCAUCCGUUCGAUUAUAUUAUUUAAGUAACCACCCACUCAACCCUAGGGAGCCCACAUCAUCCUAACCGCAUACCUUUUA
rnacentral:lncRNA from 1 species